rnacentral:rRNA from 1 species
CUGGAGGUAUCAGAAGUGCGAAUGCUGACAUAAGUAACGAUAAAGCGGGUGAAAAGCCCGCUCGCCGGAAGACCAAGGGUUCCUGUCCAACGUUAAUCGGGGCAGGGUGAGUCGACCCCUAAGGCGAGGCCGAAAGGCGUAGUCGAUGGGAAACGGGUUAAUAUUCCCGUACUUGGUGUUACUGCGAAGGGGGGACGGAGAAGGCUAUGUUGGCCGGGCGACGGUUGUCCCGGUUUAAGCGUGUAGGUGUGUGUUCCAGGUAAAUCCGGUUCACUUUAACACUGAGGCGUGAUGACGAGGCACUACGGUGCUGAAGCAACAAAUGCCCUGCUUCCAGGAAAAGCCUCUAAGCAUCAGGUAACAUCAAAUCGUACCCCAAACCGACACAGGUGGUCAGGUAGAGAAUACCAAGGCGCUUGAGAGAACUCGGGUGAAGGAACUAGGCAAAAUGGUGCCGUAACUUCGGGAGAAGGCACGCUGACACGUAGGUGAAGUGAUUUACUCACGGAGCUGAAGUCAGUCGAAGAUACCAGCU